rnacentral:rRNA from 1 species
GAUGAACGCUGGCGGCGUGCCUAAUACAUGCAAGUCGAGCGAACGGACGAGAAGCUGGCUUCUCUGAUGUUAGCGGCGGACGGGUGAGUAACACGUGGAUAACCUAUCUAUAAGACUGGGAUAACUUCGGGAAACCGGAGCUAAUACCGGAUAAUAUUUUGAACCGCAUGGUUCAAAAGUGAAAGACGGUCUUGCUGUUACUUAUAGAUGGAUCCGCGCUGCAUUAGCUAGUUGGUAAGGUAACGGCUUACCAAGGCAACGAUGCAUAGCCGACCUGAGAGAGUGAUCGGCGACACUAGAGCUGAGACACGGUCCAGACUCCUGCGGGAGGCAGCAGUCGGGUAUCUUACGCAGUGGGCGAGAGCCUGACGGAGCGACGGCGCGUGAGUGGUAGCGGUCUUCGGAUCGUGAAACUCUGUUAUUAGGUAAAAACAUAUGUGUAAGUAACUGUGGACAUCUUGACGGUACCUGAUCAGAAAGCCACGGCUAACUACGUG